rnacentral:rRNA from 1 species
AUUGAACGCUGGCGGCAGGCUUAACACAUGCAAGUCGAGCGGGGUGAUGGUGCUUGCACUAUCACUUAGCGGCGGACGGGUGAGUAAUGCUUAGGAAUCUGCCUAUUAGUGGGGGACAACAUCUCGAAAGGGAUGCUAAUACCGCAUGCGUCCUACGGGAGAAAGCAGGGGAUCACUUGUGACCUUGCGCUAAUAGAUGAGCCUAAGUCGGAUUAGCUAGUUGGUGGGGUAAAGGACUACCAAGGCGACGAUCUGUAGCGGGUCUGAGAGGAUGAUCCGCCAGACGGGGACUGAGACACGGACCAGACUCCUACGGGAGGCAGCAGUGGGGAAUAUUGGACAAUGGGGGGAACCCUGAUCCAGCCAUGCCGCGUGUGUGAAGAAGGCCUUAUGGUUGUAAGGCACUUUAAGCGAGGAGGAGGCUCUUUUGGUUAAUACCCAAGAUGAGUGGACGUUACUCGCAGAAUAAGCACCGGCUAACUCUGUGCCAGCCGCCGCCGUAA